rnacentral:lncRNA from 1 species
UCUAUCUCGUGCUAGGCCUGCAAGCCAGCAAUUCUAACCUAAUCAUGUCGCUGCCUGCUUUGCUCUCGAGGUCAAGCGAGAGCUUGCCUUCUCUUUUUAGCUCCUUGAUUUCCAUUUUUCAGAAUAUAUUUUCAUUAGAACAUAGUAAUCUAAUAUUCUUGUUUUUUUUUUUCCUAAUCAGCUAUUUUUCUUCUCUUUUUCCAAACCUAAAUUAGUUCAGUGUGAAGAGAGAGAUUCAGGCCGGUAAGGUGGCAAGAUUUGUCGAUGAUAUUCCGAGGAGAAAAAGGACGCGGUUGCACGUUUAACCGCAACGCGUGUAACGCACGCAGGAUGGUAUUAUCCAAAAUUGUUAGUCUUUCCCUGUCUUAAUUCUUAAAGUACCAGCAUUUUAUAUUAUGUGCGCAGAGUGCAUUUUUAAAUUCCCUGUUCAUUGAACACUGC